rnacentral:rRNA from 1 species
GCUAGCGCUGUGCCAGGGGCGGCGUGAAUAGUGGGGUCGCGAGCGUUUUUCGGAUUGAUGGGGCGUAACGGGGGCGUAGGCGGCGCGGUAAGUCGGGUGUGAAAUCUCGGAGCUUAACUCCGAAACUGCAUUCGAUACGGCCGUGCUUGAGGACUGGAGAGGAGACUGGAAUUUACGGUGUAGCGGUGAAAUGCGUAGAUAUCGUAAGGAAGACCAGUGGCGAAGGCGGGUCUCUGGACAGUUCCUGACGCUGAGGCACGAAGGUCAGGGGAGCAAACGGGAUUAGAUACCCCUGUAGUC